rnacentral:rRNA from 5 species
UGGGAUAGAUGAUUGGGGUGAAGUCGUAACAAGGUAGCCGUAUCGGAAGGUGCGGCUGGAUCACCUCCUUUCUAAGGAA